rnacentral:rRNA from 1 species
GACUCCGUGAAGCUGGAUUCGCUAGUAAUCGCGCAUCAGCCAUGGCGCGGUGAAUACGUUCCCGGGCCUUGUACACACCGCCGUCAAGCCAUGGAAGCCGGGGGCGCUUGAAGUGCGUUGCCGCAAGGCGCGCCCUAGAGCGAAACCGGUGACUGGGGCUAAGUCGUAACAAGGUAGC